GCCGGGUGCAGUGGCGCGCGCCUGUAGUCCAAGCUGCUGGGAGGCUGAGGCUGGCGGAUCGCUUGAGUUCAGGGGUUCUGGGCUGCAGUGGACUAUGUCGAUCGGGUGUCCGCGCUAAGUUCGGUAUCGAUAUGGUGCUCCUGGGGGAGCUCGGGACCACCAGGUCGUCUAAGGAGGGGUGAACCGGCCCAGGUCGGAGACGGAGCAGGUCAAAGCCCCCGUGCCGAUCAGUAGUGGAGUCGCGCCUGUGAAUAGACACUGCAGUGCAGCCUGAGCGAUACAGCGAGACUCAGACUUUU
ensembl:misc_RNA Metazoa_SRP Metazoan signal recognition particle RNA